UACGUAGGCAGCGAGCGUUGUUCGGAGUUACUGGGCGUAAAGCGUGCGUAGGCGGUGUCUUAAGUUUGUUGUGAAAUCUCCCGGCUUAACUGGGAGGGUGCGGCGAAUACUGAGAUGCUGGAGUGCCGGAGAGGUAAGCGGAAUUCCUGGUGUAGCGGUGAAAUGCGUAGAUAUCAGGAGGAACACCUGCGGUGUAGAUGGCUUACUGGACGGUAACUGACGCUGAGGCACGAAAGCGUGGGUAGCAAACAGG
rnacentral:rRNA from 1 species